rnacentral:rRNA from 1 species
UACAGAGGUCUCAAGCGUUGUUCGGAUUUAUUGGGCGUAAAGGGCGCGUAGGCGGCGGGGUAAGUCGGGUGUGAAAUCUCAGGGCUCAACCCUGAAACUGCACUUGAUACUGCUCUGCUUGAGGACUGGAGAGGAGACUGGAAUUCACGGUGUAGCAGUGAAAUGCGUAGAUAUCGUGAGGAACACCAGUGGCGAAGGCGAGUCCCUGGACAUCUCCUGACACUGAGGCACGAAAGCUAGGGGAGCAAACAGG